GACUGUAUACACCUUUCCCUCAGAUAGGCUACAUCGUAUAGCAGUAGCGUGUUGUUUUCUGGUAAUUUAACUUAAAAAAAAUAAAUCUACUAUUUAAUAGCGUUUUUUAUUGUUUUAUUUUUUCGAUUUCAUUAUUCUUAUUAGUUUGAAAGUACGCGAGUUUUGCACUGCCGCUGGAAAAACAAAAAAUCGAGGAAAUUCACAAAUUAACAGUUAUCAAAGGUUUUAAGGAAAUUAAUUUAUGGAAUUACAGCAUUGAGGAAGAACCAAGUUCAUAACUUAAUGAAGCAGAAGUACAGUAAGCCCAGACUAGCUGAUUCGAUUCAGGGACAGUCAGACCACAUUCCUUUAAAAAGGAAUGUCGCCGAGACAGGUGCAGCUGGGAGACGCAAUUGCACACGGCCUCGUCUGGUCAACGUGACAGAAGAGCUCCUCCGGCUCCACAGAUUAUGCGAUAUUUACCUGGGCCUUAUUGGUCAGGUUUCAGCGCUGCAUUUGACAGAAGGGUGCCAUCUGUUUUUGUUUGCAUUGUCAAACUCUUAGUUUUCACAGCUGCUCACUACAUGUGAUAUAUAUUUACAUUCAGUUUGAUGUCAUUUCUCAUACACAAUGCUUUGGUUAGUAAAUAUACAGGCUGCUGCUACUCCACACUGACUAACCGAGUGACUGAGCUCCAUGCACUGUCUAAGCCAUAAGGGAAUUGACGAUUAUUCACAAUCUUAUCCACUUUUCUACUACCCCAUGGCUUUUAAGGAAGGCAACAGCUGCAAGAGCCGCUGGGAUAAAUGCUGGCAUUGCUGUGGUUUUUUUGGACAGGCGGCGUGUACCUGUCAGGUUCUGGCAGGCGACCUGACCAGCACUGUCAGGAGGGAGGGCUGCCAUCUGUUUGGCCAGAGCCCAGAUGGAUAUUGUCCCCCAGGUGUGAUAACUACCCUGUUUAAGAACCACUCUGCGGGUGCAUUCGAAAUCGCAUGCUAACAGAGUAAGCUUUGAAUUGUGUUAGAAGCCUAGUGCCUGUAGUAUUGUAUGUUUGCAUGAAAACAGUAUGCAUGCAUUAGGAAUGAUGAAGCUUUAGCCCCCGGGAAAGUUAAAAACUGUCAAUGAACAAAAGUACAUAUUCUAAUCGACUUAUGUAACUGGCUGUUGUUUUCUAUUGAAAUUUAUACAGAGAUGGCACUUCCUCCACCAUAUUGUUGUUAAACGUUCUUCGUAUAUGGGUGCAGUUCCCAUGGCCUUGUGGGACAGCAUAACAUCCAUUGGUUGCACACUUCGGAAUUGCGCCAUAUAUGAAGUAUGUCACCUGGGUACCAUUCACUUAUUGUCUCAUCCAUACUGAGUAUCUGGCAGAAUGUAGUAUGUCAUCUGGGUACCGUCCGUCUACUGUCUCAUCCAUACUGAGGAUCUGGCAUAAUGUAGCAUGUAAUCCGGGUACCAUUCAACUAUUGUCUCAUCCAUACUGAGUAUUCGGACAUACUGCUCACUUUGCAUACUAUAUUUUGCCUACUACAUAGCAAACAAGUAUGCAAUUUUGGACAUACCCCGUGCCGUGGUGAUUACAGGGAGACAGCCUCACACACACAUAAUAAGAUAUGCAUACCAUCACUGUACUUGUCUUACUGGUCCCGUCUCCAUCAUCACUUUCUCACUCAGAUCUGCACCAAAGGCUCAGGCCUGUCUCCCUCCUCUCAAAUCAUUCCUUCCGUCAUCUUCUCGAGAGGGCGGGUGGCGUUUCUUUGGAGGCAGGGACUGAGGGCCAUGUGUGCUGCCUCCAUAAAUUCACAUCUUAUAUGUUUUACAGAAGGCUGCCCCCUAACAGCCUCUGACUCGCGUUUCCCCAGUCAAGCUGUCAGCUUCAGCGCUGAAGUAAAGCCGUCAAGAUUUGGGCGCCGUGCCCUCACUAGGCUACCUGACAGCUCUGUGCAAUUGAGAGUCCCAGGGGAAGGCAAGGGAGCAGUGCUGCGAAAUUUGCAGCCAUUGAACCGAUUUUGCACUGAAG